CCAAUACCGUCUCCAAUUCCACCAUCCCAAUUCGCCUCUGACCCACCUCCAUCGUCAUCCAUACUCAUACUAGCAGCCUCCACCUCCUUCCGCGGCUUAUGUCGCAUCUCUCCAGCAACCGAACUACCGCUCCCUUUCUCAGCAAUAGACCCCUUCAUUCCCUUCUCCUUUCCUUUCUGCAUUCCCUUCUUCUUCUGUGUUCUUCCCUUUCUCCUUGCCUCCCUCACUCGCUCCGCCCAUGCUUCAACCUCAUCUCUAUAGUCAUCCCAGACGCAAUGGACACAGCCGCUCAUACAGCAGUUAUCGGGUUCCUGGGGACGGGGUGGAAUAGGGACACCGUUCAAGACACGCCAUGUAGAUUCGGGGGUGCGGCCGCCAGGGUCAUACCGACCUGAGGAACCGGAGUAGCCCGGUCCAGCUAGGCGGGUUCCGAAAACUAUCCUCAUUUUCUCCGCGGGGGUAGGCUCGGGAGCUGGCUCCGGAGGCUGGUUCCGGGUAUCUACCGGGGGAGAGGUUUGUGACUGGACCUCAGGCUUUGAUUUCUCUUUGGGGAGGCGGGGUAUGGUGCGUUGCCUGGGGUUGGAGAGAAUUUCGAGAUAGUAGCCCCGCAGGGGAUAUGUCUGGUGAGGUUGACUGGAGGGAAGUGAGGGUGUUCCAUUUUCCUGAUUCCGCCGAGUGUGGGUGGCUACCUGUUGAUGCCGGGGUGGGGUUGAGUGUAAAGGUUUGCGGAGCUCAGUUGGUGUUGCUGGAGGGGUUGCGGGAAGAGAUUGUUUCGAAGCGCUGUAAAAGCAGCGGGUAUAUGUGAGGCUCCCUUCCCGGAACUGCUGCCGGUGCAGGAGAGACAGUUUCUUCAUUAGAGAGGGUAGCUUUGUAGCUGUGGAGAGUGAAGGUAAAACUGACAUGGAACUGACUAUAAAUCACGUGGUAAAAUUGGUGUGGAUUUACAAUCGAGGGUGUGUGCCCGAAAAGUAGAGGUUGUCUGGCUUAGGCUUUAACUAAAAGCCCGACAAGAUAGGGGCUUCAAAGCCCACAGUUUUAGCGGAUCGCGUCUGCAACCCCGCGAUGACCAACAGUUCCAUCAAGGUUCAAAAUAUAAGUGGGGCUCAGAUCAUCUCAUCACCGGGAUAGAAUUGGAGAUAGAACUA
rnacentral:sRNA from 1 species